rnacentral:sRNA from 1 species
GCCAGGCAUGGUGGUGCAUGCCUGUAAUCCCAGCAGCUCCAGAGGCUGAGGCAGGAGGAUCAUGAGUUCAAAGCCAGUCUCAGCAAAAACAAGGUGCUAAGCAACUCAGUGAGACCCUGUCUCUA